GAUGAACGCUGGCGGCGUGCCUAAUACAUGCAAGUCGAGCGAACGGACGAGAAGCUUGCUUCUCUGAUGUUAGCGGCGGACGGGUGAGUAACACGUGGAUAACCUACCUAUGAGACUGGGAUAACUUCGGGAAACCGGAGCUAAUACCGGAUGAUAUUUUGAACCGCAUGGUUCAACAGUGAAAGACGGUCUUGCUGUCACUUAUAGAUGGAUCCGCGCUGCAUUAGCUAGUUGGUAAGGUAACGGCUUACCAAGGCAACGAUGCAUAGCCGACCUGAGAGGGUGAUCGGCCACACUGGAACUGAGACACGGUCCAGACUCCUACGGGAGGCAGCAGUAGGGAAUCUUCCGCAAUGGGCGAAAGCCUGGCGGAGCAACGCCGCGUGAGUGAUGAAGGUCUUCGGAUCGUAAAACUCUGUUAUUAGGGAAGAACAUAUGUGUAAGUAACUGUGCACAUCUUGACGGUACCUAAUCAGAAAGCCACGGCUAACUACGUG
rnacentral:rRNA from 1 species